GUGGUUAUGUCAGAAUUAUUAUGAGUUAGCUUUAAGCGUUAGUUAUGGGUUUUACCCUAGCCACU
rnacentral:tRNA from 1 species